rnacentral:pre_miRNA from 1 species
CAGACCUUGAAUUUAUCAAGGUGUGACAGUCUUACUGAAUUGCCAAUACAUAUUGGAAAUUUAGUCGGCUUACGUCACCUUGAUAUAAGUGGGACUA